rnacentral:lncRNA from 1 species
CCGGCCGGUCCCUGCCGCUGACUUGUUGACACUGCGAGCACUCAGUCCCUCCCGCGCGCCUCCUCCCCGCCCGCCCCGCCGCUCCUCCUCCCUGUAACAUGCCAUAGUGCGCCUGCGACCACACGGCCGGGGCGCUAGCGUUCGCCUUCAGCCACCAUGGGGAAUGGGAUGAACAAGAUGCCAGAGACGCGGAACAAUUGAGCAAGAACAAGGUGACACAUAUUCUGUCUGUCCACGAUAGUGCCAGGCCUAUGUUGGAGGACAAGACAUUUCAAAGAAAGUAUUAAAUUCAUUCACGAGUGCCGGCUCCGCGGUGAGAGCUGCCUUGUACACUGCCUGGCCGGGGUCUCCAGGAGCGUGACACUGGUGAUCGCAUACAUCAUGACCGUCACUGACUUUGGCUGGGAGGAUGCCCUGCACACCGUGCGUGCUGGGAGAUCCUGUGCCAACCCCAACGUGGGCUUC